rnacentral:tRNA from 5 species
UGGUUCAAGUCCCUCUAUCCC